CGAGAGGCCUGGGUUGGGCACAUCAAUUCAAUAAUUAUCAGUAUAAGCAUGACAGCGUCAUGAGAAUGAGUGUGCUCACCUAGGAGGAGUGUGUCACUGGAGAAGAGCAGGGAGUCUUGAAUCUGAGCAAUGCCAGCAUCUACACGAGUGGCGUCUGCCAUGGAUUUCUUUCAACUUAGCAAGAAAAUAAAUACGAGAAUUUACGAUCUGUCCUCAUUUGGAGAAAAAGGAAGAAUGACUAAGGAAAUCCCGAAACUUCAGACUGAAGGGCCGAAAGCUAAUCUGGUGAAUUUCAUAUCUAGGGAUAAGAUAAUCAUUUUACAUCAAAUUCUAAUGCGUCUCAGAGCAGAACAUUCAGGGCAUGCCACCGCCUCGGUAGUUAAUAUAUCAGGAAAUUGUUUUCAGUUGAAAAACACAAAUCUUCCGCUGAACGUGUGUCAUGCUUGGAUGGCUGGAUUGGUUACCUAGGAAAGUGCUUCUAUUUCUCCGAAAGUACAAGAACUUGGACAGCAAGCCAGAACUUCUGUGCCUCUCAUGCAGCCACUCUUGCUGUCUUCAACACCACAAAAGAACUGGAUUUCCUGAAGCGAUAUUCUGACCACUCUCAAUAUUGGAUUGGACUGAGUCAAGAAGCAGGACAGAGCUGGAAGUGGAUAGAUGGAACCAUAUACAGUGGUUGGUUUCAAAUCAUUGGAAUUGGAGAAUGUGCCUAUCUACACAAAACGGGGAUCAGAGGCUCCAGUACCCGCUUGGUUAGAAAAUGGAUUUGUAGCAAAUCAGACCUAUGCAUCCCCAGAAGUUAAGACAUCAUGGAUCUAAGAUAGUUUACGUAAAAUAGUGUAAAAGGAAUAAUUUUUAUUCCUCUUGAAGGAAACAUAUUAUAUUAAUAUGAAAGUAUGUGAGAUUCAUGUUUAGAAAUUUCCAUUGGUGUUUUACUCUGCGUCUCUAAACCCAUGUUUAUAAAUCUUCUAGAGUCUUAGGAUUCAAGAAAUACAUGCCCCAACGUCUGUUCCCAAAUCUCACAGAAUAAAACUUCUGAUACGUAAUACAUUAAAUACGAAUGAAAAACUUAAAUGACAUUUUACGGUGUUUACGCUUAUGGAUUCAGAGUCAUGUCAUUUAAAGUGGCUUGUUUUUCUAAGAACUGCAAUAUUUUUGCCCUGCCUCCUUACUUUUAUUAUCGAUACUAGUUGUUGAUGUUCUUUCGGUUUUGCAAUAUGUGUGAGAGUCACUCGUGAAUGUAGCAUUAUGGAAACACAAGCAUCGUGUUGAAACGCGU